GACGAACGCUGGCGGCGUGCCUAAUACAUGCAAGUCGAGCGGACGAAUCGAAAGCUUGCUUUUGAUUCGUUAGCGGCGGACGGGUGAGUAACACGUGGGCAACCUGCCCUGUAGACGGGGAUAACACCGAGAAAUCGGUGCUAAUACCGGAUAACACGAAAUGUCGCAUGACGUUUCGUUGAAAGACGGCGCAAGCUGCCGCUACAGGAUGGGCCCGCGGCGCAUUAGCUAGUUGGUGAGGUAACGGCUCACCAAGGCGACGAUACGUAGCCGACCUGAGAGGGUGAUCGGCCACACUGGGACUGAGACACGGCCCAGACUCCUACGGGAGGCAGCAGUAGGGAAUCUUCCGCAAUGGACGAAAGUCUGACGGAGCAACGCCGCGUGAGCGAAGAAGGCCUUCGGGUCGUAAAGCUCUGUUGUUAGGGAAGAACAAGUAACGCAGUAACUGGCGUUACCGUGACGGUACCUAACGAGAAAGCCACGGCUAACUGCGUG
rnacentral:rRNA from 1 species